rnacentral:rRNA from 1 species
UGGGGAAUAUUGCACAAUGGAGGGAACUCUGAUGCAGCGACGCCGCGUGAGUGAUGAAGGAAUUCGUUUCGUAAAACUCUGUUCUAUGGGAAGAAAAGGACUGUACCAUAGGAGAAAGCUCCGGCUAAAUACGUGCCAGCAGCCGCGGUAAUACGUAUGGAGCGAGCGUUGUCCGGAAUUAUUGGGCGUAAAGGGUGCGCAGGCGGCUUUACAAGUUGGAUGUGAAAUAUUGUGGCUCAACCACAAACGUGCAUCCAAAACUGCAAAGCUUGAGUUAAGGGGAGGUAAGUGGAAUUCCUGGUGUAGCGGUGGAAUGCGUAGAUAUCAGGAGGAAUACCGGUGGCGAAAGCGACUUACUGGACUUAAACUGACGCUCAGGCACGAAAGCGUGGGGAGCAAACAGG